rnacentral:rRNA from 1 species
GACGAACGCUGGCGGCGUGCUUAACACAUGCAAGUCGAACGGAAAGGCCCUGCUUUUGUGGGGUGCUCGAGUGGCGAACGGGUGAGUAACACGUGAGUAACCUGCCCUUGACUUUGGGAUAACUUCAGGAAACUGGGGCUAAUACCGGAUAGGAGCUCCUGCUGCAUGGUGGGGGUUGGAAAGUUUCGGCGGUUGGGGCUGGACUCGCGGCUUAUCAGCUUGUUGGUGGGGUAGUGGCUUACCAAGGCUUUGACGGGUAGCCGGCCUGAGAGGGUGACCGGCCACAUUGGGACUGAGAGACGGCCCAGACUCCUACGGGAGGCAGCAGUGGGGAAUAUUGCACAAUGGGCGGAAGCCUGAUGCAGCAACGCCGCGUGCGGGAUGACGGCUUUCUGGGUGUAAACCUAUUUCGCCUGUGACGAAGCGUGAGUGACGGUAAUGGGUAAAGAAGCACCGGCUAACUACGUG